UGACAAUUACAAAUCUCAGUAGUUUAUCUUUAUUAGAAUGUACUUAAAUAAAGUAUUCUAAUAACAACUAUUUAUGUAAAACUUUGUUUCUGACCUUUGUAAAUUGAAGAAUACAAACUCAUUUACCUAAAGAAGCAGAGCUCAGUUCUCAUGGGACAAUACUCAUUACAACUUGCUGAUCUUAACAGGUCCCAUCUCCUUGGCCUUCGCUCUCAGCAGAUGCUUUUGAACUUUCCCAGUUGCUGUUUUUGGUAGCUCGCCAAACACCACAGAUUUUGGGACCCAGUAAGCUGGCAUCUUGGACUUGCAAAACUUCAUAAUAUCCUCAGCCAUUCGCUGCUCAUUACCCUUAUCUACCUUCGGCUUCAACGUCACGAAAGCACAAGGAGAUUCUCCCCACCGUUCGUCUGCCCUAGCGACAACCGACACCUCCAGUAUCGCCGGGUGUUGGUAGAGAGUGUUCUCUAUCUCCACACUGCUAAUGUUCUCACCUCCAGAAAUGAUG
rnacentral:misc_RNA from 1 species